CUAAAAUGCACAGGUCGUGAGUUCGAUGAGUAGGGCGGGACACGUGACAUCCUGUCUGAAUAUGGGGGGACCAUCCUCCAAGGCUAAAUACUCCUGACUGACCGAUAGUGAACCAGUACCGUGAGGGAAAGGCGAAAAGAACCCCGGCGAGGGGAGUGAAAUAGAACCUGAAACCGUGUACGUACAAGCAGUGGGAGCACCUUCGUGGUGUGACUGCGUACCUUUUGUAUAAUGGGUCAGCGACUUAUAUUUUGUAGCAAGGUUAACCGUAUAGGGGAGCCGUAGGGA
rnacentral:rRNA from 1 species